AGUGAACGCUGGCGGCGUGCUUAACACAUGCAAGUCGAACGAGAACGGGUUAUAGCUUGCUAUAAUUGUCAGCUAAGUGGCGCACGGGUGAGUAAUGUAUAGGUAAUAUGCCUCUUACUAAGGGAUAACAAAUGGAAACGUUUGCUAAUACCUUAUACUCCUUAUUAACAUAAGUUAAUAAGGGAAAGAUUUAUUGGUAAGAGAUUAGCCUGUAUUGUAUCAGUUAGUUGGUGGGGUAAUGGCUUACCAAGACUAUGACACAUAACUGGUUUGAGAGGAUGAUCAGUCACACUGGAACUGAGACACGGUCCAGACUCCUACGGGAGGCAGCAGUGUGGAAUAUUGCACAAUGGACGAAAGUCUGAUGCAGCAACGCCGCGUGGAGGAUGACACAUUUCGGUGCGUAAACUCCUUUUAUAUGAGAAGAUAAUGACGGUAUUAUAUGAAUAAGCACCGGCUAACUCCGUGCCAGCAGCCGCAGUAAGAC
rnacentral:rRNA from 1 species